UCACCCUGCCGUGCCCUUUGGGACAUGUUACUUAACCUCUCAGAGCCUCGGCGUCUCUCCUUACGUGCCAGUGGCUGUUGAAAUGAUCCAACAGGAUCUGGGAGUACAAUGGCAUGAGAGUACGUGACAGCUGACGGGGUCGGUAGGAGUGUCCCCUCUACGGGAAUGCGGUAAACCAAGGACAGGGCCGGAGAGGCGACUUGCCCAAGCCCUGGAGGUGACCCCCCACCCCCCCACCCCGGGAUGCUCAGAGAGCGCUCUUCCCCCUUUCUGGGUGCCACCCCAGCGACCCGGACCACCCCUAGAUGGUGCUGGUGCACCAGGCAGCGCCUUGGCGCGCCCCGCCUGCAGCCAGCUCGCGGCUGCCGCAGACGGCGGGCCGGGACAAAGGAAGGACCGGCGGGGGCGGCGGCGCGUCGAGCGGGCCGCCCGCGGGGACCCCUGCAAGGCGGACCUCUCGCUUCCCCGAAGGGGGAGCCGCUGGCCUGCGCGCCCGCGUUCGGCGGGAGCGGUUGAGCCCGGGGGUGCGGGAGUCUGAGCCGAGCCGGCCCACCUGCGCCACCACCCACCCCUGCAGGGAAGCAGGUGGGCUGAGCGCUCCGGGGCGUCUCUGGGGACCUUCUUCAGGCAAGGCCCCGUCGGUGGUUCCCCUUGCCAGGUCAGGUUCCGCUGUCACUCAUUCGCAGAUCAUUGCCCCAGAUUCUGGGCUGCAAGGGACACGACCGGUAACUGCUAAGAAGCCAUGCCAGCCCGGGGGCUUUGGCAGGUCACCCCUGUGACCUUCAUGCUGCCCACCUGCAAAAUGGGUGUACAGGCGUCGACCCCGUCGUGCUCACUUCCACGUUCAGCAGACCUUUCCCGUGCUCCUGCUCCUGCCGGCGGGCAGCUCCCUGCUGCCUGUGACACCGGCCUGCCCUGGAUAUGCCAAACCCACAGACCUCCAAAGACACGUGUCCUGAGAGAGGACGGUGAGAGGAGGGACUGACUGCAGGUCGGGUAAAGCUUGUGGACAUGCCAGAAAACCGUGGGGAGGCUGUGAACAUUGUUAUUACCGAUAAAUGAGGAGAAUUCAACAAUACGAACCGGGAAGCCCGCCUAGACUUUCCAGCCAACACUGCAGUGGAUUACUUAGGAGGCUUCUGGACGCUCCCCCGUUUUACAGCCCGGCAACCUCAGGCACUUCGUGGCCCCAUACGCUUCUCCGAUAGCUCUUGUUUCUGGGCUGCCAGGGAAGCUUCGCGGAAAACAGUCCUUCCGGAAGAUCUUUACGCCAUUCUGACACAUUGAGAAGAGCCUCCGGUAGCGUGGACUCUGUACUUCAUUUUUAUACUCAAGUACAGACCACGGGGUGUGUGUGCUCCUCUUUCCCUCCCACGCACCAGCUCUCACGUACUACCUCCCUGCCUCCCUCACCCUGGUACAGGGCAAGAAGAUAGGUAUUGGGAUUGGAGAGCCCCGCAAAGGAAGGCGAUCAGAUCUGCCAAAAGUUGGUUGUUAAAAAUUACUUAACAUCCUUGCUCCUCAGGUUACUUAUCUAUAAAAUGGAAUCAGAUGAUACCAAUGGCCGCAGGGGGCUAGUGAAAGUGAAAGAUAACGGAUACGAAACAUCAAGCACUGAAUAAACAGAGCACACUCUUCAUAAAUAGUAGCUACUUUGGGUUGAUUGACUUUGUGUUGACUUCUUUCGAACUCUGCAUUUAUGGAGUGCUUAGUGUAUACUCAGCUAGAGGUAAACAGGUGGGUGUGACUGAACUUCCAGGCAUCUAAUCUUUUAAACCAUCCGCCGGCUUGUUCUGGCAUGGAACCUUCCUCCCUGGGCACCCAAGUUUUCAAAGGAGAAAGCUCCCAGCCUGCUCCCUCCUUCCCGGGCUGUACUCCCUGGGUCCUCCUGCGUGCCAUGUUUCUACCCUGCUAGAAGUCCUCCGUGUCCAAGACUACCGUCAUAAAGUUUUAUUUGGAGAUAAGGAAUGCAAGGCUAUGUUAGGAAGUCAACAGAAAGCACUGGAAAUGAAAAGAAUAGAGCACUUUCCUAUAAUCUAGUAACAUUAUGGGAUCUUGAUAUAGUCUCCAAGUCACGUAACUAGAGUAUCUACUCUGGGCUCAGUGCUAUCUGGGCCCAACGUUACAAAUGUUGUGACAUUGUGUAUGAGUGUCCGUUUUCCAAUCAGUCAGGUGAUGACUCCAAGAGUCCGUGGUAUGCUGAUAAAUAUCUGCCAGUAAGUUCUCUAGGGAAAAAAUAUAUGUAUAUAAAAUAUAUAUGUGUGUAUAUAUACACACACAUACACACACAAGUUGCCUAUAUAUGAAUAUAUGCAUUCGUACAUAAGUUGAUUAUAAAUUUUGCCAAUGUAAAAUAUUAUAGUACACAAUUUACAAAUAAUAAGAAAAUAUAUAAUGUUCCUUAUUGUACAUUUCACACAGCCAAGUCGUUCUCACAGAAUGCUUUCAUUGACGUUUGCCAAAUUACGGUAUCCGUUACCAACCUAUGAUAGCUACUGAUGAACAACAGUUUAGAUAUGAAUGUUAGUUGAUAUUUUCAUUUUUUUUAUUUUAGAGAGAGAAAGAGAGAGAGAGAGAGAGAGAGCACACAGGGGAGGGGCAGAGGAGAGAAAAUCCGCACUGAGUUUGGAGCUCGACAAGGGGUUUGAUCCCACAACCCUGGGAACAUGACCUGAGUCAAAAAAAAGCCGGAUGCUCGACCAUCUGAGCCACCCAGGUGCCCUGAUAUUUUCAUUUUAGUUAACAAGAUGGAAGUGAAAGGAUGGAGAUGUGUGUUGGCAUCUCGCUUGUUUAUCAAUGACAUGAGCAGCUUCUUUGCUGACUCAGAUCAGUUUUUGAAAAUGAAAAUAAUAUUCCUCCGUGUUUUUGUGGGUUAUUCACAAUGGAACAGCUAUGGACAUGGCACAUUCUUUAAGUUUAACUUGCAUUAUUAACAUUUUAUCCACCACUCCUUUAUGUCUAGGCAAUCAACAAAUUAAUAAAUCGAGGCUUGAUUUGUGACGUU